UCCCUGGUGGCUCAGAUGGUUAAGAAUCUGCCUUCAAUGCAGAAAACCUGGGUUCGAUCCCUGGGUUGGGAA
rnacentral:tRNA from 1 species